rnacentral:lncRNA from 1 species
GAGCUUUCCGCCAUGGGUCGGGCAUUGAAAGCGCUGUAGGAAGCGGUAAAGCAUUAAUAUGAACUUAAAGUGAUAUCACACUCGCUUCACUGAAAUUUUAAGUGGAAACUGAGCUCAGCGUGUUUGUGGUGAAAAAAAGGACUUUGGAAUCAGAUCCAAAAUUUAAUAAGCAUCGCAUUUCCUGAGCCCUCAUUAAGUGCUAGGGACUGAGCUUCCAGCUAAGAUCGAACACGGCUAUCAUUCAUCACAUAGAAAAACCAACUACAGAUAAAAGGAAACAAAUAAUUUUUGACCUACUACUUGUCAGGAAAACAGAGGAAAGGAAAUUAAGAUUACUUGAGGAAGAACUAAGCACUUAAUAUGUAUCAUUACACUUAAUUCUCACAGAAGUUCUAUUUCACAGAGGGUAAAACGGAGCAUCAGUUAAGGUAAGUAGGCUUGUGUGGGUUUCCCAGCUGCUAAGUGGUGAAAUGGGUCUGAGGCUGGGUACAUCUCAUUCUAAACCCUGCACCAGUAAAUGCUGUUUUACUGAUUAUAAUCUGUAAAGCACUUGAUACAUGUAAAGUAUUAAAUUACUUACAUCUUCCAUUUAAUUGACUUCAUCAACCUCAGAAGCAUAGUAAAUUGUAAUG